rnacentral:rRNA from 1 species
UACGUAGGGUGCGAGCGUUGUCCGGAAUUAUUGGGCGUAAAGAGCUCGUAGGCGGUCUGUCGCGUCUGCUGUGAAAUCCCGAGGCUCAACCGGGGAACUGCAUUCGAUACUGCGGUGCUUGAGGACUGGAGGGGAGACUGGAAUUCAUGGUGUAGCAGUGAAAUGCGUAGAGAUCAUGAGGAAGACCAGUGGCGAAGGCGGGUCUCUGGACAGUUCCUGACACUGAGGCACGAAGGCCAGGGGAGCAAACGGG